GUAGGGAGCAAGCGUUGUCCGGAUUUACUGGGCGUAAAGAGCGUGUAGGCGGCCAAGCAGGUCUGUUGUGAAAACUGGAGGCUCAACCUCCAGACGUCGACAGAAACCGCGUGGCUAGAGUCCGGAAGAGGAGAGUGGAAUUCCUGGUGUAGCGGUGAAAUGCGCAGAUAUCAGGAAGAACACCAAUGGCGAAGGCAGCUCUCUGGGACGGUACUGACGCUGAGACGCGAAAGCGUGGGGAGCGAACAGGAUUAGAUACCCUGGUAGUCCACGCCGUAAACGAUGGGUGCUAGGUGUGGGGGGUGUCGACUCCCUCCGUGCCGCAGCUAACGCAUUAAGCACCCCGCCUGGGGAGUACGGCCGCAAGGCUA
rnacentral:rRNA from 1 species